rnacentral:misc_RNA from 1 species
UCAACAACAUUGAUGGAGAACUUCAUGAAGCUGGCAAAGUCAAAUACUGAUAAGAAUUUAGAAACUUGUGGUGUCCUAGCUGGUUCCCUUAAAAACAGAAAGUUCUAUAUUACAGCUCUCAUUAUCCCAAAGCAGGAAUCUACAUCAGAUUCAUGUCAGACCACAAAUGAAGAGGAAAUAUUUGAAGUGCAGGAUAAACGAUCUUUAUUCCCCCUUGGGUGGAUACAUACGCAUCCUACACAGUCUUGUUUUAUGUCAUCGAUUGAUCUUCACACCCAUUAUUCAUAUCAGAUUAUGCUGCCAGAAGCUGUUGCCAUUGUCAUGGCACCAAGAGAUACUUCAAGAAAACAUGGCAUUUUUCGGUUGACAACCCCUGGUGGCAUGUCGAUCAUAAGACAGUGCCAGCAACGUGGAUUUCAUCCGCAUAAUCAACCUCCAGAUGGUGGGCCUCUUUACAAAGCCUGUACAGAUGUCUAUAUGAAUCCCAACCUAAAGUUUGAUGUUAUUGACCUACGGUGAUCUUAUUUGUUGAAUUUCAUUAGAUAAUGUUUUGGCAAUGUAAUUGUUCAUAGAUUAUCCAUUUGUGCUGGCGACCUUACCUUUGAUUCUUAAA